rnacentral:rRNA from 1 species
GAGAGAGAGACAUGCGCGCAUAUCAAUAAGCGGAGGAAAAGAAACUAACAAGGAUUCCCUUAGUAACGGCGAGUGAAGCGGGAAGAGCUCAAAUUUGAAAUCUUCAAGGUUUUACCUUGACGAAUUGUAGUUUAAAGAAGUGUUUUCUGCUGAAGUUUUGGUAAAAGUUCUUUGGAAUAGGACAUCAUAGAGGGUGAGAAUCCCGUAUUUGACCAUUAUUUUCAGCUUUGUGAUACACUUUCAAAGAGUCGGAUUGUUUGGGAAUGCAGUCCAAAAUGGGUGGUAAAUUUCAUCUAAAGCUAAAUAUUGGCGAGAGACCGAUAGCGAACAAGUACCGUGAGGGAAAGAUGAGAAGAACUUUGAAAAGAGAGUUAAACAGUACGUGAAAUUGUCAAAAGGGAAGCGUUUGACACCAGUGUUGUUUUCUCGAAAAUCAAUUAAAAAUGGCUCGAUUUUGUAUUGUUGAGACCUUAAAAGCUCACUGUACAUUUUUCGUGUCUUUUUUAAUGCACUUUUCGUUUAACAAGUCAACAUCAGUUUCUUUUGUUGUAAAAGGGUCAUUGGAAGGUGGCUUUCUUUUCGGAGAAAGUGUUUAUAGCCUUUGGCCUCUGCAAUCGGAGAGAUUGAGGUCUGCAGCGUAGAUCCUUCGGGGUUAGAUACAUUUGUGCUAAGUUAUAGCCUUUUCAUAGACAACUUGUUGACUAUAAUCAGUCAUGUAGCUUACUCGCUUAUGCUAUUUUACCUACGCUUAGGAUGUUGAAGAUGUAGCACAUCAU